UACGAAGGGGGCUAGCGUUGCUCGGAAUUACUGGGCGUAAAGCGCACGUAGGCGGCUCUUUAAGUCGGGGGUGAAAUCCUGGAGCUCAACUCCAGAACUGCCUUCGAUACUGUAGAGCUUGAGUUCGGCAGGGGAGACUGGAAUUCCUGGUGUAGCGGUGAAAUGCGCAAAUAUCAGGAGGAACACCGGUGGCGAAGGCGGGUCUCUGGGCCGAUACUGACGCUGAGGAGCGAAAGCGUGGGGAGCGAACAGG
rnacentral:rRNA from 1 species